GCCAUUGCAGGACAGUGAUGAUUCCUUUGAUAUAGUCCUCCCAGGCAAGAUACAAACCAUCUCGCCUUCUGGCCAGAGAUGGAUUCACUGCCCUCCUUGCAGACACGCAGCACACACACAGAGCACUGGGAAGUGCACAUUUACUAUACUGCAUGCCGGCUGCCUUGAAGAAACUGUAGCUAACCACCUUAUUAGUAUUCUUGCCUCCACCGUGUCUCACUUGCAGCAUCAGAGGGCUGAGCAAAAUGCAGUAGAGCAGGGACAGACACAGCUCUGGCAAUCAUAUCAAUGCAGGCUGCCGAAUGUUGGGGGUGGGGGAUGCAGCACAUCAAGAUUAAUAACCUUGCCGAAAUCCGGGGCACCCUGCGAGCAGACACCUCUGCUGACUGACCCGCGCCUGGCUUGAUGAAUCCGCCUGGGGGAAGGGGGCUCCGGAAUCUACCUGGUCCUGGGGGCUCCCCUUGAUUUUGGAUGCUCCUUUUAUCCGACACCGAUCUGCGAAGGGAACAGUGAGCCGUACCAUCUGCAGCACACGGCGGCCGUUGGAGGUUACUACUGACAGUUUCAUCACACGGGUUUGUGUGAGUGUGUGCGUGUUUGUGCGUGUUUGGGAGAGCGGGUGCCUGCUUUGGCGUGAAAGAGAACGCGUGAGUGCCGGCCAGUGUGCGUGUUUGUGUGACAAGCGAACCAGGUAUAUCGUCCUGUAGAUUUCAACAGCGUGAAAAUAUUCUCUGGGUACUUGGGCUCCCAGUCCGAAGCCCCCCAGCUCUCACCGCCUCCUUCCUUCCCGGCUCCCCCCCCCCCCUUCUUCUUUUUGCCUUUGAUGAGUUUUUGGCUUACUUUCUGGCGGAGACUCUUGGCCACGUUUUUGCUGGGGCUGGAAGAUCAAAUCAAUGGAACCUUUGAAAACUGAUUAUUUUUCUCCUGUGUGACUUUAAAAAAAGAAGAAAAGAAAAUAGAGUAGUGCCAGAUAAGCUAGAGGAUUUUAAAUUUUCCGUGGUGAACUUUGAGGAUCCAAACAGAAGAAACCAAAUGAAGUGUUUACUGUCAUUAUCCCUAUUUGAUGAAGAGGAUACUGAGGCUCACAGAGAAUUAGUAACUUGUCCAAGAUCAUCUAAUGUUGAGUAAUCAAGAGUGAAUGACCUGAAAGCACACACAACCAGCCGGGACCAGCCUUUUAUCGAGGCGAAAAUUUGCAGAGACAGAGCAGCAGCAGGUGAGCAGUCUUCUCAAUGCCAGCUGCACAGGGAACUGAAAUGGUUCUCUGUAUUGCGAGGCUGCGAGAUCACCCAGGGAGAGCGGGGCCAAUUAAGCCGGACCACCUGACACGCUGAAUGUAUGUGAGUACGACAUUAACAGCUUUGAGAAAGGUUGUCUUGUAUGUGGCUUAAGGCGCUCUGGAGGAUGUAGACUGUGGAUUGAGACGGUUCAUGGCUGGAUGCUCGGCCCGGGCAAGCUCUCACUGGUGAGUGGGGUAUGCGUGUGCACCUGUGACAAGGCUUGAUUUCUCCUCUAAGGAUGUGCAUUGCGUUUCCGCCGGGAGUGACUGUCUCUCAUAACUGCUCUGCCUCUCGUAAAAUUUGAAAGCCUGCUUUCUGAGCACAGCUGCAUAUACUACUUCUUCCACUCCCCUACUCCUGCUGAGCCACACUUACCUUCC